CCGGCACGGGUGAGUAACGCGUAUGCAACUUGCCUAUCAGAGGGGGAUAACCCGGCGAAAGCCGGACUAAUACCGCAUGAAGCAGGGAUCCCGCAUGGGAAUAUUUGCUAAAGAUUCAUCGCUGAUAGAUAGGCAUGCGUUCCAUUAGGCAGUUGGCGGGGUAACGGCCCACCAAACCGACGAUGGAUAGGGGUUCUGAGAGGAAGGUCCCCCACAUUGGUACUGAGACACGGACCAA
rnacentral:rRNA from 1 species